UAGAGGAGGAACACGUCCCUGUGUGACUCUGGGAGCAAAGCUUGCAGCUUGAGAAUCCUGGUGUGAAAAUGCUGCCAUCGGAUUUUCAGCAACCAGGAAAAUGACUCUGUCUGGUUCUGGAGAAGUUGGAGGCUCAGACUCCAGGUCAGGGAGAUAUCAAGUCAUUCUUUUUGGCCGGAUGGAAACUGGUCUUUGCAACAUGGGGCUAGAGGAAGAAGCUUCAUAGCUUUCAUUAAAUUCUCAAAGGGAUCAAGAUCCAUAAAGUAUCAAGAACCUCAGUAUGAAGAUAAAUAAGAAGGUCUAUGCUCUCCAGAAACUUAUAUAACCUGAAGUUUCACAUCCCUAAAGGAUGAAUGCAAGUUGCUUUAUGUAACAGAUAUGUUUUAAAAGUCAGAUAUAAAUCAUGUAACAUUUAAACUUUGAUGGUACUUAUAUAAACUAAAUUAUU